UUGGUUGCCAUCGAUCUUAUUGUCUCUGAGUAGAAUGAUGAAUCAGGCAAUCUUUCUGUAUGCUUUGAAUGACACAGCUAUAGCUCUGUGGGUAGCCAGAAGUCUUCCCUAUUGGAUGUGUCCUUUGGCGUUUUUAGGAAGAUGGCUCAGACUUAAAGGAGGAGGAGGAGAAUAGCAAUUAUGAGACGUCCAGGGAUUCUCCCUGAUUCUACCAAAGAUCCUCUACAGUGACUAUAUUUGGAAGCUGCCCUGGGGGAAUAGGUCAAUACAACUCAUUAAAAGUCCACGAUGACUUGGUAAUUCAAAUUGAUCUUUGGGAAAGUUAAGGGUUUUAUUUAAGGGGUGCAGACAUCAUACCAGUUAUUGGGUUUACAGGUCUAUAGUGUUGAUCACUGACCACAGUACAUAUUCUAAUUAUAUAGCUAGUGUGAUUUCCAGUAAAAAAAAAAAUUCAAAGGACUUGAAAUAACUUUUAUGACUCCAGCAAUGGAUGGUAACGCAGAAGAACUGCAUGUAGAUGGAAGGACAGGACAAAAUUUGUAAUUGAUAUAAACGAGGCAUACUUCCUGGAAAGUGAGUUGUUAUUGCUAGCACCAUCUAGAAAAUGUUGAAACCCUCCAAACAGUAAGGAGGGGAGCUUUGGCUAUUUUAAUGUCUUAGGGGAUUGACAAAACUGGAUUUAGAUGGCUCAUUUUCUUGAUAUAACCAGAAUCACAUGAAAAAAUCUAAACCUCUCUGGCAUUACAUAGUACAGAGUGUUUUAUUAGCUGCAGGGGUCCCCUUAGUGCCACUAGGAAAUCCAUACGAAGAUGGAAGUCAGAAGACUAAAAUAACAAUAAUAAUUCUUUGCAGUGACAUGGCAUCUUUCAUCUGAAGAACUCAAAGCACUUAGCAGAUGUUAUACCCAUUAAAGCGAUGUGGCAAGCAUUAUUCUCCCCAGAAUACAGAUGGAGAGAGGGGGGACCAUACCACUGUCAUUCAGACUAAAACUGGAAUAAACAUUUAAUUAUCUUUGAGAGGAAAUCUUUCUAGCGUAACCCUUUCCUUCUGCAGUUUCUUAUUCCCACUGAGUGAAUGGGACAGGUCACAUCCUUCAGGCUGGUAUGUCUACUGCAGGUAUCCAAACAUUGUAAUGAAAUCACCUCCCUUUCUUUAUUUCCAGACGAAACAUAUUUAACUUUGAAGUCCCUUCUUCAGAAGGUAGAGCUUCUCUUCCUUUGCUUAUCCCGUUAUUUCCCUAAAACCUGGAUGUGGUUUUCAAGACCUUAACGACUCAGGGGACCAAUCUGAGAUAGGCUAACCCCAAACCCAAGAGGGUGAUUGACAGCAACAAAGAGUCAUCCAAGUCAAGAUGGGAAGACAAAAGUUAAGAUAACUGAUGACAGCCUGGGAUGCGAUGCCUGACCUUGGUGACUUCAGUGUCUGACCAAGUCCCAAGCACUCCACAAUGCUUGCUUCAGUUGCCUUCAUGUCUACUGGAACAAAUUGUUCUUGUCUGCCCAUUCUGCCAGAAGAAAUCUUCACAUGCUUAGGGUGGAGUAUCGGAGUAGAGAGCUCUACCUUUGGGAAAUUUGGAAAGUGGGAAUGGUAACUACCAGAGGUUCAGGAGCCAUAGUUCAUGCUAGAGUUUGUUGCCAGCUGAUCCCAUCAAAGCCUCAAGAAGUGACUAGAAGCUGGCCUAAUAGUGGAUUGAACCCUGUUGGGCUCUACAGGUUCCAUGGUGAGGCAAGAUCACUAAUCCCUCUGCUGUGAAGGGGAAAGAGCAGGAUGGCCAUUAGGAAGAAGAUACUGUUACUACGGAGAGCGAGAUCCAUUCUGAAGAUGAUGGAAUUGUUUGGACAUAGAAGGUUUAAAUCAUAAAAUUCUUGAAGGAGAGGAAAAUCCCAAAGGUAUGUGGGAAAACCCCCCAAACUUGGACCUGUAAAAAUAGACUUGAAUCCAGGACUUCAAUCCCCAGAAGUCCUUGCUCCACUUCCCCAGAAUGCUUUGUAAUCUCACUGAAUUCUCACCUGGGCCCAGAGCAAAAUCAUUAUUUAAAGGGUCUCCGCCCAUGGCAGGGUCUCUUCUCUUCCUGGCUCCUCUGGCAAACAGACGCGUCUCAUGAUGUGAGUGAAAUUUGCUCAUGGCCCACCUAGCACGUGCUUCUCUUGCUUGUAUUUUCUUUAACCCUUGACCUUUAAUAAACUUCAUAAAAUUAAUACUCCUUGCAGAGAGAAACUAAUUUCUACCUCUAUCAGUAUCUCCUAAAUUUUAAUCUUUAUAGACCUUAUUAGUGAUAAAACAAAAGAAGCAACUGAGAGAACAUAAUUUAUUGAGCUAUCAACUUAACUUUUUCAUUGAUGUUGAGUUUUUUUAAUUAAUUCAUACACAUUGAGGGCAGUCCUUGAAGAGAGGCCUUUGCAAGCAAUAUUCUAGAAUAUGUCCCAUUUUUCUCAUUAUGUAAUUAUCUGAAAUAUAUUGAGGAGUCAAGUUCCCAUCAUGCUAAUUACUGAUGAUAAAGGAAACAUUUGAUUGGGUAGACUAGAAUGUCAGGCUUGGAGGCUGUCCUUCAAAAAGGUACUUUCUCAACCAUAACUUUCAAUUUUGCUAUUCUCUGCUUUCAAAUUAACGCAACUAAGUAUCAAGGCUCAUUGACAUAAUUUGGAGGAUCUUGUCUAAUUCUUUGUCUUCUGCAGUGAAUAUUUAAACAUAACCUGCUGAUCUCUUCUUGGUGGUUGCUUUGCUUACUCUCAUCAUGAAGAAAUGAGGGAAAGAUUAUUAAGUGUUUCAUGUUAUUUUGGGUUUAUGAGAAGCCACCUCCACCUAUUUGCAUCUUUCUGAACAAAACUAAAUGCUGUGUUUUUAUUUAACUAGAAUGUGUCUUUUUAUAGAAGAAUGUCAACACCAAUGAAUUGAAGUCCUUUAAAUGAUGUCCCAACUCAUUUGUUGCUGGUUAAAAAUUGUGUAUUAAAGAAAACAACAGUUUAAUUUAGGUUUAUGGAGUUUGCUCCUACUAACUCCUUUACUGCUAUUCUGGGACCAUUUCUGCAAAAGUAAAGGACUGAAGACCACUUGGGGUUGUUGCUAAUUUAAUGAUUGUACAUACCUGCAAGAUGGAGAUGGCAUGGGGUGGGGGGUGGUAAGGGGAGAUGGGUGAGGAGUCACCUAGUGAUCAAACUUCUGAUGAUGUCUCAAUAUUUACUAGACUAGUCUUCAGACAAUAGAUACAAUCUGCCUGGAAUGUUUUGUCCCUUUACUAUGCCUCUUAGAAUUCCUAAUUUCAGCUAAAAUUCCAUCAUCUACAUGAGACUUUUCUUCAUCCCACCAGCUACUAAUGACUGCCUGCAAAAAUAAGCUUUUUUUUUUUUAACCAUUGCCUUCUGUUUUAGAACUGAUAUUAAGUACUGAUCCCAAAGCAAAAAAGUGGAGAAGGCGAGGCUUUUGGAAUUAAGUGUCUUGCCCAGGACCACAUAGCUAGAAAGUAUCUGAGGCCAGAAUUGAACCCAGGACCCCUUGUCUCCAGGCUUGGCUCUCUGUCUGUAGGAGCCACAUAGCAUGCCCAAUAUGGUAUUUUAAAAAAUUUCUUUGUGACAUUAAAGUUCCCAGGUAUCUCUCUUCCUUUCUCUGCACUAGAGAAGGAAUAAUUUGAUUCUAUCAUAACUCUCUCUAUAAAGCACCAGUUCUUUCUCUUAAGAUAGACAUAAACAAGUUAUCCUUCAAACAAUA